rnacentral:rRNA from 1 species
CAGCCGCCGCGGGAAUACGGAGGGUGCAAGCGUUAAUCGGAAUUACUAGGCGUAAAGCGCACGCAGGCGGUUUGUUAAGUCAGAUGUGAAAUCCCCGAGCUUAACUUGGGAACUGCAUUUGAAACUGGCAAGCUAGAGUCUUGUAGAGGGGGGUAGAAUUCCAGGUGUAGCGGUGAAAUGCGUAGAGACCUGGAGGAAUACCGGUGGCGAAGGCGGCCCCCUGGACAAAGACUGACGCUCAGGUGCGAAAGCGUGGGGAGCAAACAGGAUUAGAUACCCGUGUAGUCCCUGUCUCUUAUAC